CCUUCGGGAACGUCUGACACAGGUGCUGCAUGGCUGUCGUCAGCUCGUGCCGUGAGAUGUUGGGUUAAGUCCCGUAACGAGCGCAACCCUUGUCCUUAGUUACCAGCACGUUAUGGUGGGCACUCUAAGGAGACUGCCGGUGACAAACCGGAGGAAGGUGGGGAUGACGUCAAGUCAUCAUGGCCCUUACGGCCUGGGCUACACACGUGCUACAAUGGUCGGUACAAAGGGUUGCCAAGCCGCGAGGUGGAGCUAAUCCCAUAAAACCGAUCGUAGUCCGGAUCGCAGUCUGCAACUCGACUGCGUGAAGUCGGAAUCGCUAGUAAUCGUGAAUCAGAAUGUCACGGUGAAUACGUUCCCGGGCCUU
rnacentral:rRNA from 1 species